AAAACAGAAGAGCAAUACACAUUUGAAAUUUGGUGACUUUAAAACGGGUCAGAUAUAACCCGAAUCGAAACGAGAACGAAAGUGAUCCGACGUUCGACACGGUCUUAAGUCGCGUUCCUAUCUCCGUUGUGCAAUCGUGGCCACGAAAUCACGCGAAUAGAAUAUUCAUGAGUUACCUCGAAAAGAGGAACUGCGAUAGACACUUGCAGGCAAAGAGAAUAAAGAAAUUUGGCGGGAACGUUCAAUGUUUAUUUAAUCCCCAAUCCGUGUACCGAUGGAAAGUUUAAAGUUUUAUUGAUAUUCACAUUCUUUCUUUUUUAGGAAAUAAGAACGGAUUGGAGCAUUAUUGGCUAAAUAUUGGAACACUUGAAAAAUCAACGAUGUAAAAUUUUAAACGACGAAAUGAUAAAUGUGAACUCGAAAGAACUCGAGAUAAGGAAACAAGACAAAGAUCUUAACAUGGAAAAAUUCGAUUGCACUCGAAUUAUUCGAGUAUCUGGAAAUUGGAGCAUUUAAAUACCUAUUCGAGAAGACAAUUGCACACUGAUAAGAUCCGAAUAUAUACUCGAGGCAUAUUGACCCCUAAUCUAAUGAAGUUUUCAAAUAUAAUCAGAGAAGGAAAUCGCUUGUUCUUAUAAAUAAAGUAUCGCUUGAGGAAUGGCGAGCGAUAGAAAGAAGCAGGGAUCGCAUACGGUUCGAUUGUUUGCCGCGUACAUGUCCCACGUAAAUUGUUUUCACACACGUUCCACGCGAAGAAAGUAAAUCGGUAUUCGCGUUCCUCCGCGGCGACGUGACAACGUUUCACGUGAAACAAAGUGUCGUGAAACGGUGGCGAAGUAGAAAUCGUGAGAGAUAUCCUCUGUCUUAAUUAACUACCAACUUACGUGACUGCCGAAUGGAGAGGCGAUCGCUUUCGAACCUUUCGUUCGGAAAAUAAAACGAAGACGUUACUCUGUUUUCUCAAGGAUCGAGCAUGUGCAACGUAACUCGAGUUGCACCGUUUGGUUCGCUGAACAAUACUCGUUAUUCUCUUAAUUAUCGCGAUGAGGAGAUGAAGCGUUGAAUACUCGUCGGAUAAUAAAUCUAGAGAAGGAUACAUUUAUUUUCGCCCAAUAUCACCAUUUUACCGAUCCACCAUCCAUCAAAAAAAUAAUAAAUUAUCAAGCAAAAGUGAAAUUCCUAAAUUAUAUCGAUAAACUAAUGUGGCUUGCGUUAAAGAUUUUUUACUCUCAGUUUCGAAAAUGAAAUAACGUAAUCAUCAAGAUUAAGAAGCUUAUGAAAAACCUCGUCCUCGUCCAUGUUAAAAAAGAAUCUUCACAAAACGAGAGACGAAAAGUUACUCGUUAAUGACGAAUCGAAAAAAAUCCGAGAAAAGAUCCGAGAUGGAGCGCCACCGCCACCAUUUCCGGUCACCAUUUCUCACGGCCGAAGGAAGGUAAAUCGUCGUUGCGUGAAACACGAGAGAGCGCGAUUGUUGCGGCGCGUCUCGUGAUGAAUUUCACGGCCGGGAAUAAAGAAAGGCCAGGAGAGGGAAGAAAAGGAAGAGGAAGAAAACCGGUGAAAGAUGAGGCAACCGAAUCGAAAGCUAGUCGAACGGGUCUCGCGAGCACUCUGAGUGCGUUUCCUGUCGGUCGAACGCACUCAGGAAAUUGUACCGAUUCCUCGUUUUGUUAACCAUCGACAAUAAUGUCGGCCAGAGAACUUAGAAAGGUUUCUUAUUGCUAUUGCAUUAGCUGCUCGUGAAGGGUUUCAGUUUUUCAUCGAACGAGAGGAAGUAUUUAGAGAGAAGUGUGGAGGAUGAAGUAUAAGAGCGAAUUAAUUUUUUCCGAACGAACUCUUAAUAUUUUUACCUUUGGAAUACUUUAUAGAACGAGCAGGAUCUAGUGGAGAAUAUGGCGUUUAAAUAUAAUAUAAUUCGUAUUGAAAAAUAUUGAAAAAUAGCAAUUAAAAUAAUUUGAAAAAAAUUUUAGAUACAAUUAAAACUUCUUUGUUAAUUAAUAAUUGGUUAAUUUGUUGUUACAAUUAAAUCAAUUAGAUUGUUUAAUAAAGAUUGAUUUUUUCA